CUCGUAGGCGGCCAACUAAGUCAGACGUGAAAUCCCUCGGCUUAACCGAGGAACUGCGUCUGAUACUGGAUGGCUUGAGAUCGGGAGAGGGAUGCGGAAUUCCAGGUGUAGCGGUGAAAUGCGUAGAUAUCUGGAGGAACACCGGUGGCGAAGGCGGCAUCCUGGACCGACACUGACGCUGAGGAGCGAAAGCCAGGGGAGCAAACG
rnacentral:rRNA from 1 species